rnacentral:rRNA from 1 species
GAUGAACGCUGGCGGCGUGCUUAACACAUUCAAGUCGAACGAAGUAGCAAUACUUAGUGGCGGACGGGUGAGUAACGCGUGAGCAACCUGCCUUUGUGAGGGGGAUAACGUUUGGAAACGAACGCUAAUACCGCAUAAUGCAUAGAGAUCACAUGUUUUUUAUGCCAAAGAUUUAUCGCACAAAGAUGGGCUCGCGUCUAAUUAGAUAGUUGGUGAGGUAACGGCUCACCAAGUCGACGAUUAGUAGCCGGACUGAGAGGUUGAACGGCCACAUUGGAACUGAGAUACGGUCCAGACUCCUACGGGAGGCAGCAGUGGGGAAUAUUGGGCAAUGGGCGAAAGCCUGACCCAGCGACGCCGCGUGAGGGAAGAAGUCCUUCGGGAUGUAAACCUUAGUCGACAGGGACGAAGAAAUGACGGUACCUGUAGAGGAAGCCACGGCUAACUACGUGCCAGCAGCCGCGGUAAGAC